ACUCAAAUGAAUUGACGGGGGCCCGCACAAGCAGCGGAGCAUGUGGUUUAAUUCGAAGCAACGCGAAGAACCUUACCAGGUCUUGACAUCCAAUUAAGCUCAUGGAAACAUGAAGUCUCUACGGAGGAAUUGAGACAGGUGGUGCAUGGUUGUCGUCAGCUCGUGUCGUGAGAUGUUGGGUUAAGUCCCGCAACGAGCGCAACCCUUGUGAUCAGUUACUAACGGUCAAAGCCGAGGACUCUGAUCAGACCGCCGGGGACAACCCGGAGGAAGGUGGGGACGACGUCAAAUCAUCAUGCCCCUUAUGACCUGGGCUACACACGUGCUACAAUGGCUGUGAACAAAGAGGAGCGAAACCGUAAGGUAGAGCGGAUCUCAGAAAAGCAGUCCCAGUUCGGAUUGUGGGCUGCAACCCGCCCACAUGAAGUCGGAGUUGCUAGUAAUCGCGAAUCAGCAUGUCGCGGUGAAUGCGUUCCCGGGCCUUGUACACACCGCCCGU
rnacentral:rRNA from 1 species